UACGGAGGGAGCUAGCGUUGUCCGGAAUUAUUGGGCGUAAAGAGCUCGUAGGCGGUUCGAUAAGUCGGACGUGAAAUCUCCACGCUCAACGUGGAGGGGCCGUUCGAUACUGUCGUGACUCGAGUCCGGUAGGGGAGUGUGGAAUUCCCGGUGUAGCGGUGAAAUGCGCAGAGAUCGGGAGGAACACCCGUAGCGAAGGCGACUACCUGGCCUGUUCUUGACGCUGAGGCGCGAAAGCUAGGGGAGCAAACGGG
rnacentral:rRNA from 1 species